rnacentral:rRNA from 1 species
UAUUGGUCAAUGGACGAGAGUCUGAACCAGCCAAGUAGCGUGAAGGAUGACUGCCCUACGGAUUGUAAACCUCUUUUGCCGGGGAGCAACGGGGUCCUUGCGAGGGCCCAAUGAGAGUACCCGGAGAAAAAGCAUCGGCUAACUCCGUGCCAGCAGCCGCGGUAAUACGGAGGAUGCGAGCGUUAUCCGGAUUUAUUGGGUUUUAAGGGUGCGUAGGCGGGCUGUUAAGUCAGCGGUCAAAUGUCGGGGCUCAACCCCGGCCUGCCGUUGAAACUGGCGGCCUCGAGUGGGCGAGAAGUAUGCGGAAUGCGUGGUGUAGCGGUGAAAUGCAUAGAUAUCACGCAGAACUCCGAUUGCGAAGGCAGCAUACCGGCGCCCUACUGACGCUGAGGCACGAAAGCGUGGGUAUCGAACAGG